UGUUACAGAGAUACGAGCCUGCAGUCUGGAAAGGGGGAGAACUACUGUGCUGCCAUGAUGUACGAUUCGAGGCAUUUAAACUGGCAUGUCACAAGCUGUGAGAACACAUUCAGGUUCAUCUGUCAAAUCAGUACCCUUUAUACAGGUGGAACAAGUGCCCACCCUGCCAAGAAAGUGUUUUGGUUCAGAAAAGUUGACUCUACCUGGACAAUAAUGCCUCAGCUUCAAGUUGACUGCCUUGAUGAAAACCCACUAGGCUUGGUGGCAGAGGUGGCACCAAACAUCACUGUCUCCUCUGUGUGGUCUGAUGCAGAGUUCUGUCAACCUCAUGAGAGUCAGCUAAACUCUCCCAGUGGCUG